rnacentral:rRNA from 1 species
CCUACGGGUGGCAGCAGUCGAGAAUCAUUCACAAUGGGGGAAACCCUGAUGGUGCGACGCCGCGUGGGGGAAUGAAGGUCUUCGGAUUGUAAACCCCUGUCAUGUGGGAGCAAAUUAAAAAGAUAGUACCACAAGAGGAAGAGACGGCUAACUCUGUGCCAGCAGCCGCGGUAAUACAUAGGUCUCAAGCGUUGUUCGGAAUCACUGGGCGUAAGGCGUGCGUAGGCUGUUUCGUAAGUCGUGUGUGAAAGGCGCGGGCUCAACCCGCGGACGGCACAUGAUACUGCGAGACUAGAGUAAUGGAGGGGGAACCGGAAUUCUCGGUGUAGCAGUGAAAUGCGUAGAUAUCGAGAGGAACACUCGGGGCGAAGGCGGGUUCCUGGACAUUAACUGACGCUGAGGCACGAAGGCCAGGGGAGCGAAAGGGAUUAGAUACCCUGGUAGUC